rnacentral:rRNA from 1 species
UACAGAGGUGGCAAGCGUUGUUCGGAAUUACUGGGCGUAAAGGGCGCGUAGGUGGCCUACUAAGUCAGACGUGAAAUCCCCCGGCUUAACCUGGGAACUGCGUCUGAUACUGGAAGGCUUGAGGAUGGGAGAGGGAUGUAGAAUUCCAGGUGUAGCGGUGAAAUGCGUAGAUAUCUGGAGGAAUACCGGUGGCGAAGGCGGCAUCCUGGACCAUUACUGACGCUGAGGCGCGAAAGCUAGGGGAGCAAACGGG